rnacentral:rRNA from 1 species
GAAUAUUCCGCAAUGCACGAAAGUGUGACGGAGCAAUGCCGCGUGCAGGAUGAAUCCCCUCGGGGUGUAAACUGCUGUCAGUGACUAGAAAAAAAAUGAUCAGUCGCAAAGGAAGGACCGGCUAAUCUCGUGCCAGCAGCCGCGGUAAUACGAGAGGUCCGAGCGUUACGCGGAAUUACUGGGCUUAAAGCGUACGUAGGCGGAUCUACAGGUAUCCUGUGAAAGCCCACGGCUCAACCGUGGAAUUGCAGGGUAAACCGUAGAUCUUGAGGUGGCUAGGGGCUCUCGGAACGGUAGGUGGAGUGGUGAAAUGCGUUGAUAUCUACCGGAACGCCAAAGGGGAAGCCAGG